UCCGUUCCCACAAGCCCACACACCGAGCCCAAGAGCCCAGGCAUUUAGCCCGAGGUGGCGGCGGCACCGCCCACAAUCUCCGCCAGCUCCUGGGUAAUCUUAGCCUGGCGCUGCUUGUUGUACUGCACGGUCAGGCCCUUCUUCAGCUCCUUGGCGUUGUCCGAGGCGUUGUUCAUGGCGUUCAUGCGGGCAGCCAGCUCGGAGGCCAGCGCCUCCUGCAGCGAGCGCAGCAGGCAGCUGCUCAUGUACAGGGGCAGCAGGGCGUCCAGGAUCUGGGCGGGCUCCUGCUCGAAGAUGAGCGAGGGGUCCAGGGCCUCGGUCUCGAUGGUGGUCUUCUCGCGCUCCACGGCGAACUCGCCGCCCUUGGUGGUCAGCUUGAAGAUCUCGUCGUCAGCGGCGUCCACGCACUUGCCGUCCACGUCGCACAGCUCGCCCAUGGGGGUCAUGGGCAGCAGGGUCUGGAUGGUGGGGUUCGAGUUGAUCAGCGAGAUGAACUUGGUGAACACCAGCUCCACCUUGUCCGACUCCUGAGCAAUGAACGAGGCGAAGAUCUCGUCAGCAAUGCCCUGGGCCUCCUUGGUCGAGGGAGCAGCGCCCAGCGAGAAGGACUCUGCGGGCGGAACAACGAGCGGCGACGGGGAAUGCGUUCAGGGAGCCGAUGGAGGUUGGAAAGCGAGGGGUUGUGCAUGUGCCGCGUAUGGAGCUGAGGGCUGGCCACGUCCCUCAGAACCCGAAGCUGAGCGCUGGGAGUUGAUGUGCCCCGGCACCAGAAAGAUGCCGGUCUCGCCCGACUGAGACCGGCUCCAACUGACAGCUUUCAACCUAGCAGAGAACGCCAUGCUUAUGCUGAAAAUUCUGGUUGUUCUGCUGGCUUUUGUUGCGGCGACUGCGCUGCGAUAGCACCAUACCCUGCCAACCGCAACCACGCUGACUGGUCAGCAAGGCCACGGUCCGCGCCGGCGACAGCAGCCCAUGUCCGCUUUCACAUCCUGCAGCGGCCUGAUCCAGCUGCAACGCCAGCUCGCCACUCCGUACGUGCAAGCACAGGACUACUGCCGCUCCAAAGUGGCUGGGCGGCCAGUGCUGCGUGUCCAGCGCCAGAGCUCCGCACGCUGCUGCGUGUGUUCGGCCGCCGAGCCCUCCGAUUCCAUGCGAUUCCCUUUCAAUGCGUCUGUGCUUGUUGCGCCACAGAUUCACAUCAUCAGGCCACCGCACGUUCGCCGACACCCACACCACAUCCGCCAGGACCUCCCCGCAACACCCCCUUCCUCCCUGCCAAGCCCCACCACUCCCAACCCUGCGACGCUCCGCGACUCACUGACGAUGUUGUACUGCUUCCGGCGGGCGAAGUACUGAGCACCCUUGCGGCCCACGCACACCAGGUUGACCUUCACGCCCAUAGCGGUAAGCUCGCGGUAGCGGGCCUCGGUCUGCGUUGCACAGGGAGUUCCGUCAAUGACCCUGGAAACACUUGUGGUCAUGGACUUAUCUACAGCUACCCUUCCGUGCUCUGGUAUAACGCCAGCAGGGCCUGACCGCGGGUCGGGCGCAUCACCACCAUCCAAACCAAAGCGACGAGCGUGUGCCCCUCGCUGAUCAGCUAUUCGGCUCGUAGUUGCUGAUUUACACGAACGCUCUCAACCACGUCUCCAGUGCGUGUAUUCGUGACCCAGAAACGUGGUGGAUGCGCUGCGCACCUUCUUGAUGAUGAAGUUGUUGUAGCCGCCGCACAGACCGCGGUCGCCGGUCAGCACAACCAGCAGCACCGACUUGACGGGGCGGACAGCGCACAGGGGCGAGUCCACAUCCUCCUGGCGGACGCGCUGGUUCACGCCGUAGAGGACCUGCGCGACCGAAACAGCCCCGUUAAAUCCCAGCCCGAAGUGCUUUGGGAACCUGUAUAGAUCGUCUUGCUUUGGCGCAGCCGCGAUGGCCCAGCGCCUGCUCAUCGACCGUGCAAGCGGUCCGAAUUGCGCGACCCCAGCCCCCCCGCGCACCUUGACCAGGUUCUCCGAGAAGGGGCGGCCGUUCACCACAGCCUCCUGAGCACGGCGGACCUUAGCGGCAGCCACCAGCUUCAUGGCAUCGGUGAUCUUCUGGGUGUUCUUCACCGAUGCGAUGCGAUCGCGGACCUCCUUCAGGCCGGCCACCACCUAUAGCGGAAACGGGCAUAUUGCUGGUAAGUCCAUCUGCCGGAUUUCAGCGGUGUGGGCCCCCUAACACGGCGAGCGCAGUCACCUGCAGGGAGCCGCGGCUGGCGACGCCCUUGGGGGCGGGGGCAAAGGAGCUGCGGCCCAUGAAGGCGCCCUGCUUAGAGGCGAGCAUAGCGGCCAUUUUUGUCCCUAGAAAGAGCGGCGAACAAGGUGCAAGGAAAGGCGCAGUUCAAGGCUUCACUUGCGCACUUGGCACCCAGGACUUAUCACUCCAGGGGGGCCAAUUGGGUUUGCCUCCGAUUUUGCCCACCAGAACGCCGUCGAGUAGAUCUUCGUCAAAUCACAAGCAUACCCGGCAUAAAAUUACGCUUAUAGAAUGCAGGAGCCUGGGAGUAGCUUGCACGAGGAGAGAUUGUGGCGCAAGCGCUGCUGCGGGGAGUCCUCUGAGGCCGCGUGACCUCGGCUUUAAGGUUUACAUGCAGUGGUUUGAUGUAAGGCGUGCUCACCGGUAGCGCCCGCCUCACCAUUGCCAAUCAGGUUGCGCCGAUGUUUCGCGCGCGUGCGGCGAGGGUCGCCCAACACUGGGGCGAUUGCCAAAAUGUGCUGUAUGAACGACCCAUAUUACAGGGCAAAGCAGAGGAUGUCGCCUCAAGUGCAGUCGGCUGUCGGCGAAGACGAAUGGGCGCGCAAGGCGGAGACGAGCCGUCGCUACCCGUCGCUACCCACCAGCCCUCGACGAGCCACCCCCCGGGCCCAACCGCGUGUGUGGAGCAGGUUUCAGAGGCUGGGUUGCUCCCGUCCGUUGUUGUGGGGGUGGGUGCAGGAACUGCGCGGCGUUGCGCUGCCUCGCUGCCUUGCUGAAAGCGCCGGCGCUGCCGCAGCACCUGCUGUGCAGCCAGGCGGCGGGGGAGAUGGAGGAGGCGUAUAUGGCUAGAUAGCUUUGUACGCACGCCGUCCGCCUGAAGUCCGUCGACGAGGGGAGGCUGCUUCGGCGGCCAAUAGCCCCCAUACACCCAAGCUACCGGUACACCAAAGCGAGCAGCCCACCCGCGAGCAGACUGUCACUUUCCGGCUGACCGGGGGCUCUCGUGUUCCCGCACGAAGCCAGAAUGCGGUUGGUCUACGCCUAGAUCGGACGGUGUAAGGGGACUCGCGCUGAACGCACCGCAGGUCGGAGUGUCUGACCGAUUGACAGCGUAGUCGUGUUCCGUGACCCGCAGGGAUUUGGGGGCACAAGUCAUGAUACAGGUCACGGUGUUAACCGGUGGUGUUACACCUCUCUUGCUUAGGACCGCCCCUAUCAUGCUCGGUUGGCGAUGACCUAGCCCUCCAUCAGUCUGCCCCCCUCGGCACCCUAAUCGCAUCUAGGAUAACCGCCAUCCAUGGUUCCUAGAACACAAUACGGAGGUACUGCAAUAUGCAUACCAACAACAGUUGCGAUUAUAAGUUAGGUGGGGCAGACCCCUGGUACACUGCCUGGAGCUGCGCCAGUGUUGCCUGGUAAGCCCGCUGCACAGCGUCCCCUUGGCUGCCAGCCGCCAAUGCUACUGCCGGUGCGCCUACAGUGCUACUGCCGCCGCCCACACCGCCCGAGCCGAAGGCUGGCAUCAUGCCGGGAAAGGACAGGGGCUGCUGCUGCUGCUGCUGCCGGUACGGCGACAGGGAUGCCGCCUGCUGUGGCGCAGCCUGCAGCUGCAGCUGUGGCGCAGGCGGGGCGUGCUGUGGGGCAUGUGGCGCAGGCAUGUGGCCGCCCCCGUACGGCCACGCGCCCGGCGCCACCGAGCCGGCGGGCGACAUCAGCUGCAUGCCGGGCCCGGCAGCGGCAGCCGCAGGGGCGUAGCCCGGCGGCGCCAUUGCGGGUGGAGAGGCACCAUUGGCGCCGGUGGGAGGCAGCUGGAAGAACUGCUGCGGCGCCGAGUACAGGUAGUGACCACUGACUUGCUGCUGCGGCUGCAGCUGCUGCGGCUGUAGCUGUUGCUGCUGUUGCUGUGGUGGCUGCAUCAAGGGCGCGUGCGGCGCGUAUGGCGACAUGGGCUGUGAUACACCGGCCGGCGGCGCGUACGCAGGCGCAUGAACGGCUGCCGAGCCGCCACCGUAAGGCGGAGAAUAGGGUGGCACUGGAUGGUGGUGGCGGGGCGGCGGGUGCCCUGGGCUGCGAGGUUGGUGUUGAUGCUGGGUUUGGUGCGCGCCGUGUGAGGGCGAAUGCGGCAGGACGGACAGCCCUCCUGCAGAGGCGCCAGGAUACGCUGGAGCCCCCGGCGAGGCAGGGUGAGACUGCGGGUGGUAGCCUUGGUAGGGCUGAGGUGCGGGCAUGGAUUGGGGAUGCUGUGCAACCAGCGGUGGCGCCGCCAGUUCGGUUCCGGCCGGGCCGUAGCUUGCGGCUCCAGCGGCGGCUGCAGUGACUGCAGGCGCAGUGGAGGGCCUGGGGAAGAGGCGAUUGGCAGCCGCGCCGUGCUCUUGCCCUGCAGGCGCCAGCUGCUGGUGCUGCGGUGGUGCGUGCUGCGGCCGUACUGCAGCAGCGCUACCUGCGGCACCGGCUGGCGGCUGCCGGUGAGGCGAGAAGGUCAGCUCCGCCAAACCCGCAUUCAACGACGCCUCGCUGCCGUCUGCCGACGCGGCAUCACCCCUGCGGCUGCCCGCAUCGAGGUAGCCAGGCCGCUUGUGCUCCCCACCACCUCGCGCUCGGCCCGACUGCUGCUGCUGCUGCUGCUGCUGUUCCCACUGCUCCUGGCGCCGGCCGUGGUGGUCGCUCUCGCGCCUACCCAUGCUGCCUGCAACGCUGCCCGCUAUGCUGCUGCGCACACUGCGCUGCCCAGCCUCCUCAUCAGCCUCCCGGGCCCGGUCGCGCCCUGGGCGGCCCUCAUGGUCGCGAUGACCGCGGUCCCGCCCCGACCGCUCACCACGCACCCGCUCCUCCUCGCGUGCCACUCGGCGAUCCUGCGACCCCGCCGCCUCAGUAGGGUCGUCAGCCCUCCGAGAGCUGCUGCUCACGCGGCGGCUGCCGCCGCCGCCACCGCCACCGCCGCCGCCACCACCGCCGCCACCACCGUGAGCGCUACCAGCGCCGCUGACGCGGCUGCUGCCAGGCUGCGCCCGGCGAUCCGAGUUAAUGGACUGCGUGUCAAAAUGCAGACGCCGCGAAGCGCCGCUGCUGGCCGCCGGCGGCCUUCCUGACCGACCUGACCGCGGCGGCGACGGCGGCGGCGAGGCCGCUGCUGUCACCGCCGCAGCCGCCGCCAGGUCUGCCACCGCAUCGGCGGCUGCGCCCCGCAGCCGCAACAGGUCUUCUGUCAGUGCACUCACAGCCACAUCCAGGACGGAGCCACCAUCGCCGUCGCCGUCGCGGCCACUCAGCAUCGGCCUGCCACCGCCCGAGCUGCGGCGAGCACGCUCAUAGUCGCCCAGCUCCUGCGCCGGCACAGCACCGUGGCUGCCGUCACUGCGGGGCGAUGAAGCGGCUGCUGCUGCCGCCGCUGUCGCAGCCGCUGCCGCAGCCGUUGCGCCGACUGCGUCUCUGUACACUGAUGUGGUUGCAUGGUGUGCAGCCGCAGCCUGUGCUGCGGAGCGGGCUAGGUCCGCAGAGCCAGGGUACACCUCCGUCAUGUGCACCGAUAGCCGGCACGGCAGGCCCUCGCCGGGCAUGGGCCCGCCAUUGGCCACGGCCAUGCCACCCGCGGUGCCGGGCAUGGGCUGCCCUGCCGCUGUCCAGGCGCCUACGCCCUGCCCGGCGUAGGAGGCUGCAGGUGCCGCCAGAUAUGCCGGGUUGCAAGUCGGCAGGUUCUGAAGCGCUGUGCCGCUGGCGCCGCCCGCCGGCAGCGCCCCUUGCACCGCCACGAGCGUAGGCGGCGCCGGCGGCGCCAAGCCCGGGAAGCCGGCCAGCAGUGAGCCAGUCCCGGCAGUGGGCGCCGCCGGCGUCCCUAGCGCGACCACGGACGCGGUCCCGUGUGGGAGGCUUGCGCCGCUCAUGGAGGCGGUGCCGGGGAGCGCCGAGCCCAGGGUGGACGCGGCCGGCGGCUGUAGCACGGCUGCGGCUGUCAGGGGCUGCUGCAGCAGCGUGCCGUCGGACAGCAUCACGGGCGGCAGCUGCACUGGCCGCGCAAUCCAUGGGUCGCCCGGGGCCGCGGCGGGCAUGGCGCCGCCCGUGCCGGCCCCGUACAAGCCACCGCUGAAGCCGCCCAGCUGGGGCAGCAGCGACAUGCCUGCUAGGGUCGCCGGCAUCGCCCCGGGACGGAGCGGGUCGAGGCCGAAGCCUGGCGAGGCAAGCCCACCUGCCAGCGUGGCGUCCGAAACAGGGAUGCUGGUGCCGCCCGCGCCCACGUCGGCUCCCGUGCCUGGCGCUGUUGCGACGCCUGAGGUCCGGUCCAGGUAGUCGCGGACCGCCAUAUCCAGCUGCAGUCAUAGGAGAGACAGCCCGAUGCAAUGCAGAGCAGCGGUGUAAGGUAAGCGACAGGAAACGACGUCAACAGCAGCGCCUGGCUAUGCAGGGCAGGCAUUUGACACGCCGCCAGAUUUCACAGGCACGGCUACGGAGCUGCCGGGGGGUGUCUUGCGUCGUCCUACCUUGGCGGACACCUGUCGCGCCGCCUGUGUAAUGGCACUGACGGACGCCUCCCGUGUGCCCGGAGUGUCCAGUGAGCCGCGUAUGGCGCUGGCCACGCCUGUGCAGAGGUGCAGGGGCAGGGCGCGUUGUAGUGGAGGCGCGGGCAGAACUCGGAGGCAGCGCGUGGGAGCUGAGGCAGAGGCAGGCGUUGGCAUUACACCUCAAGGCAUGAACGGACGGAAGGAGUGCACCGGCUGCUCUUUGGAACACAGAGGAAGGCCUGUCUUCAAGUCACUUUGCCAUGCCGGCGAACACCGCACGAAACGCUGCCCACGGCACCACGCAGACGCCCCACUCACCCGCCACCUGGUGUGCGAGCAGCUCCGCCGCCACGCCGCCGGCAGCAGGCAGCGUGGCGGCCGCCGCGCCGUCGGGUCCGCCGCCGUGCAGCGCCGCCGUCACGUCCGCCUCCACCUGUUGGCGGCGGCCCGGGUCCAGCAGGCUGGUCCACCAGGUGGGGCUCAGCAGGUCGGAGGCGGGCGGAGCGCCGCCGUACAGCCUGUGGCGGGCGCCCCAGGGGUCGUUCAGGUGGAUUUAGGUGGGGUUGGGCGAGAGCAUGAGGGUGGGCACACACACAGGUGGGCACGGUGUUGUUGAUGCGUGUUUGGGGGCGAAUGAGGAGUUGCAGGCAUGGACU
rnacentral:lncRNA from 1 species